rnacentral:miRNA from 1 species
GUUGGAGGCAGGGUUGGGAGGGAGGCAGAGACUACACAGGUUGUUUUGUAUCCCACUUCUGACACCAUGUAUUGUCAAC